rnacentral:rRNA from 1 species
GAUGAACGCUGGCGGCGUGCCUAAUACAUGCCAGUCGAGCGAACGGACGAUAAGCUUGCUUCUCUGAUGUUAGCGGCGGACGGGUGAGUAACACGUGGAUCACCUCCCUAUCAUACUGGGAUCACUUCGGGAAACCGGCGCUAAUACCGGAUAAUCUUUUGAACCGCAUUGUUCAAAAGUGAAAUACGGUCUUGCUGUCACUUAUAGCUGGAUCCGCGCUGCAUUAGCUAGUUGGUAAGGUUACGGCUUACCAAGGCAACGAUGCAUAGACGAACUGAGAGGGUGAUCGGCCGCCCGAGAAGGGGAACACGGUCCAGACGACUAAGGGAGGCAGCAGAAGGGAACCGGACGCAGUGGGGGAGAGCAUGACGGAGCAACGCGGAGUGAGAGGUGAAGGUGUUCGGAGCGGAAAAAUCGGUUAUUAGGGAAGAACAGAUGUGGAAGGAAAUGUGCACAGCGUGACGGUACCUAAUAAGAAAGCCACGGCUAACUACGUG